rnacentral:rRNA from 1 species
AUACGUAGGGUGCGAGCGUUGUCCGGAAUUACUGGGCGUAAAGAGCUCGUAGGUGGUUUGUCGCGUCGUCUGUGAAAUUCCGGGGCUUAACUCCGGGCGUGCAGGCGAUACGGGCAUAACUUGAGUACUGUAGGGGAGACUGGGAUUCCUGGUGUAGCGGUGAAAUGCGCAGAUAUCAGGAGGAACACCGGUGGCGAAGGCGGGUCUCUGGGCAGUAACUGACGCUGAGGAGCGAAAGCAUGGGUAGCGAACAGGAUUAGAUACCCUGGUAGUCCAUGCCGUAAACGGUGGGCGCUAGGUGUAGGGGUCUUCCACGACUUCUGUGCCGUAGCUAACGCAUUAAGCGCCCCGCCUGGGGAGUACGGCCGCAAGGCUAAAACUCAAAUGAAUUGACGGGG